rnacentral:rRNA from 1 species
GUGGGGAAUAUUCCGCAAUGGACGAAAGUCUGACGGAGCAACGCCGCGUGAGUGAUGAAGGUUUUCGGACUGUAAAGCUCUGUUGUUUAGGACGAAAGUGCCUGUUGCGAACAGUUACAGGUAUUGACGGUACUAAACGAGGAAGCCACGGCUAACUACGUGCCAGCAGCCGCGGUAAUACGUAGGUGGCAAGCGUUGUCCGGAAUUAUUGGGCGUAAAGAGCAUGUAGGCGGAGAUUUAAGUCUGUUGUGAAAAUGCGGGGCUCAACCCCGUAUUGCGAUGGAAACUGAAUUUCUUGAGUGCAGGAGAGGAAAGGGGAAUUCCCAGUGUAGCGGUGAAAUGCGUAGAUAUUGGGAGGAACACCAGUGGCGAAGGCGCCUUUCUGGACUGUGUCUGACGCUGAGAUGCGAAAGCCAGGGGAGCGAACGGGAUUAGAAACCCUGGUAGUCC